AGCGCACGCGAGCAGAUGGAAACCAUGGAAACGAGGAAACCUCUUCAACUGACAAACAGCAAAAAAUAGCGUCUCCCUGUUUUUCCACUGCUUUCAGUCUAGAAAAUCAUCAUGAUGUCCUGCUACAGCCCUGUCCCAAGACAACCUCCACGGCUAUGAACUCGACUAAUGAGAUAUCAUUUGACCCUGUGAUUCUUCAGGACCAGAUCUUGAUGCCAUCCACACCCAGUACAUGACAAAGAUGCUGUGACAAAAAGCAGUCAAGCCACUGCAUGUGAUGUGGAAGCCUCUAUGAAGACAUGGCUCCGUAAUCCCUGGGACAGAGAUGGGGACGGCAAGGAAGGGCCAGAACUGCAGAAAUACCUACUGUUUCCCCUGAGGGGAUUGAUUUUUAAUUUUCAAUCCCCUGUUUUCUGUGGUUAUUGCCGUUUAAACUGUAUUAUCAUUAAUU